rnacentral:lncRNA from 1 species
CUGGGCAACAAGAGUGAAACUCCGUCUCAGACAAACAAACAAACAAACAAACCUCCAAAAAACCAAUGUCAAUUUAUUGUGAUAAUUAACAUGUCUCUUAUGGGCAACAUUGUCCUUUUUUAGCCUUUGCCCUCAAAUAAAAAAAUUGUUAUGUAGCAAAAACAACCAUUUCCAGAUGAUGCAAGAGUUCAAAAUGCUGGCCUGAAGAAGUCUAUGAAAAUGUCAAGUCAUGCCUUUGCGAGGAGAUAACUACUUGGCAUAUACCUUUCCCUGAAUGAUAAAGAAGGAAAGAAAAAAUGUACUUCCAGUAAACAUAUUCAUUAGCCACAGAGAGCUGCAUAUAAACAUGAUGCUUGGAAAACAAAUGCUCUGCAGUAAAUGGGAAUUGAGAAAAUAGGUAAUAAGUUGCAAAUCUGAAAAUCAUUUCUUUAUUUCAAUGUAAGGUAAGUUUAUAAACAGUCAGACCAAAAGGUCUGCUUUUAAAGUUUUGCAAAUGCUGGUCAGAUUGAUUAGUCCUUUUUUGAAUUUUUUUUUUUUUUUUUGAGACGGAGUCUCGCUCUGUCGCCCAGGCUGGAGUGCAGUUUUUUAAUCCUAAAGCUUUUUAAUUUAAGGCUUUUUAAUUUUCAGUUUGCUUACUCCAUUCUUUUGUAAAAGAAAAAAAUCACUUUAGAUUAAAUGAAAUUGUAAUUAAGGCUUCUACUUCCAUUUCUCACCUUACGAGCUUAUCUUCUGGAUCCCCCACUUAAAAAACAAAGUUCCCUUUUCAUUUAAAAAUUAAAGAAACUCCUGGGUUAGUACUUAACACAAACAAACUAAUAAUUACCAUGUAAUAGAAGCAACAGGACAAGCUCACAGUAAUAUUACAAUGCAGGAGGUAAAAACUUGGGCAACAUAGAAAGAAGGCUCCGUUUCUUAGUCUGUAAAUGGGGACAAUAAAUAGCUGCCUCAUAAGGCUGAUGCUGGGAUCAGUCAAAUGAGAUCAUGCAAAGCACCCAGCACUGGCUAACACUCAAUAAAAAAAUAGCCAUUAUGAUCAUUAGGAAGAUAUAGGAAGAGACUUUUGUCAUUGUCACAGUUUAAUCUUGAAAAGGAACUUACUGUAUGGUAGCAUUCUGAGUCAGUUACAAGAGAAAGUAACAAGUGACCUGCAUUGCUGAGGAUCCUGCCUCCUCCAAGCUACCCUGCUACAUUGUUAAAACACCCUGGGGGAGAAAAGUAUCCUAUUCAGCCAAUGUUAAACUGUUUCCUUUUCUGAAAGUUAGAAAUAGAUGAAAAUAGCAUAAGAAAUAACUCUGUAUAUAGUAAGUUCUGGGUAAGACAAUAUUGUGGUAAGUGAACUAAACAAAGAUUAAUCUGAAAUUGGACUCUGAUCCCCAAGUGAACCAGCCAGUGUAGCCCAGUCCUUACUGGACCUGAGGAGGAAAAACAAGCCUGUGUCUAUCUCAAGCGUGAUCUGGCUAGAUAUGAUCUAAACUUUGAAAAGUGCCUAAGCAUGUUUCAGAUGCAUAUUAUGUGUUAAAUACUAAGCAGGGAGCUCUGAGCUGGGGCAGUGCACCCUGAUGCUGAGGAACUGACAUAGGAAAAUGAACACCUAGCAUUGUAAUUUGGCCUUUUGCUAUUUAUUUAUUUAUUUAUUUAUUUAUUUUGAGACGGAGUCUCUCUCUGUGGCCCAGGUUAGAGUGCAGUGGUGCAAUCUCGGCUCACUGCAACCUCCGGCUCCUGGUUCGAGCGAUUCUCCUGCUUCAGCCUCCUCAGUACCUGGGAUUCCAGGCACACGCCCCCACGCCCAGCUGAUUUUUGUAUUUUUAGUAGAGAUGGGGUUUCACCAUGUUGGCCAGGCUGGUCUCGAACUCCUGACCUGAGGUGAUCCACCUGCCUCGGCCUCCCAAAUUGCUGAGAUUACAGGCAUGAGCCACCACGCCCAGCCUAUUCUCUCAUUUUAGUCAGACAAGUUUUCUUUUCUGUUAGAUCUCUCCCCAAUAAUUGCAAAAACCAACCAAAUAAAUAAGUAUGGGAGAGAGGUGGUUAUUUAUAUUAUGAAAGCAUUCUUCAGUUUAAUUCAUUGCAGAAUCUAAGAUCCUUUCCUCCACAGUGUUAAAAUCCAUAGCCCUCUCAAUUACUCUUCCACGCUUUGAGGAAAAGGAAGACAGGGAGGAGAGAUCUCCAAUGGAAAUUUCCUUGUUAAUAACAUCUUAUGUUUCUCUAAAUGUUUUACAGUUUCAAAGCACUUUCAGACUCACUCUGGUAUGUUAGUUAAGCCUUGUGCAAGAUACCAUAAAUCAUAUUAUACUCAAUUAAGAGGUGAGAAAAGACAAGGCUCAGAGGUGAAGCAAAUAUAAAUAGUAGUAAUUAGUUUUAUAUAUAUAUAUAACUAAUAUAUAUAACAUUCAUAUAUAUAUAUAUAUAUAUAUAGAGAGAGAGAGAGAGAGAGAGAGAGAGAGAGAGAGAGAGAGGGCGCAAUUGGUACAUGUGAGACCUGAAGCCAAGAUUUUUAAACUAAGUCCAGUGGCCAAGAAGCUGAAGCAAGUAGCUCACACUCACUGCCUUGGUGUUGCUGUUUUUCCUCCCUUCCGUGAUUUGGUUCUAAGCAUCUUCCCUUUUUUUUCUCAGUUAAUUCUGAUUCAUGACUUCCCUCAUGUAAUUAAUAAAUGGGAAAGACUUGAGUGAACAAAUAUUCAGCCAACUAGUAUUUAUUGAGCAACAACUAGAAACCAGAACUUUGAAGGGUUUUAAACAAAGGAAAUGGAAUCUCUUUGUCAUUUAAAAGGCCACAAUAAAACAAAUAAAAGUAAAAAAUAAAAAAGACCAUAGUGAGGAGGGUGCAGUGGCUCACGCCUGUAAUCCCAGCACGUUGGGAGGCUGAGGUGGGCAGAUCGCCUGAGCUCAGGAGUUCGAGACCAGCCUGGGCAACAUGGUGAAACUCCACCUCUACUAAAAAAAUCCACAAAUUAACCAGGCAUGGUGGCAUGCAACUGUGGUGGUUACAGGUACUCAGGAGGCUGAGGCCGGAGAAUCCCUUGAGCCUGGGAAAUGGAGGCUGCAGUGAGCUGAAACAGCACCAUUGCACUCUAGCCUGUGCAACCAAGCCAGGAUUAAUAACUUUAUUGAUGUGAACCAAUUAUCCAAAAAUAAUAAUCACAUAUUAGCCAUAGCGGACUCCCCAAUAGCAGAAAUCCCAUUAUAUUUUAGUGCUGUGGCCCCAGCAUCCAGCUGCGCUGUUACUUAGCAUGAGAUCCACAUGAAAACCAUUUCGCAACUAUUAGCCAUUGCCAGUAUUAAUACUUUCCGGAAGGUGGCACAAAGUGGGGGAUGUUAUAGACAGCUUCAAAGAAACGUUUAAGCUAGAGUUGACUCUUUAAAUAAUACAAGCCAUCCCCAACCAAAGAUUAAAAAUUUAAAUACAAAAAAAAAAAAAGGAAAUUUGCCUACCCCCCAUUUGUGAAAACAAAGAAAAAAAAAACAGUUAACGUCUUAACUUUUCUAGGCCUUCACUCUCGCCUCUCCCCGCG